GCAGAUUUUCCAGCUUUAAAAGGUCCACAAAGGUUGGCAUGCAUGUGCAGAAAUUUCAGCAUGCAUGUGCAGGAUUUUCAGAUUUUCAGCUUGUAGUUGAUAAUUGUAUAGCUUGCAUUGUUGUACCUUGUUGACUUAGGGACUUUUAGGUACUAUAAAUACAUGUUGUAAGGCAUCAUAGGCAUCAGCUCAUACUUGUUUUAUUCAGUAAAUACCACCCAUGAAGAAUACAACAUAAUUUACUAGUCCAUCAAAUUGGGACAUUCUACCCCAAAUACCUGAUUUUAUCUAGCU
rnacentral:lncRNA from 1 species